AGCAUGAACAUACUGAAUCACAGAAUCAAGAAUCUCAUCAGUGAAAGAACCCCAAGAGACCAUCCAGUUCCAUUUAUAUUCAGACACAUAAUAAAAGCUUAUUCAUCACCUUUUCUGCCUGGUCUCGAACUACAGUGAAGAAGAUAGCCAAAGCUUGCCUUCAUGGAGCUUACAUUCUGGGAACAAUGAAAAAUGAACACGUAGACUGUGAUAGCACCACGAUACACAGAAACAACUUGUCGAGGUUGGCUAGAAUGCUAAAGGAAACCUGAUCUGAAGAGUGAGAAUUUGUGUUGAAACCUACAAGAUGGGACUGAGCCACACCAGCAAAGAGCUGGAUGAGGAGUGCUCACAGCAGGGGAAAUAGCAAUUGCAGAGUCAUGAAGAGGGGCUUAUUCAAGAAACAGAAAAAGGAUCAAUAUGGCUGGGGUGUUGUGUGAGGUCUGAGAGAAGUUUGCAGCUUCUACUAAGAGCAAAGAAAGCCAUUCAAUGAGUUUCAAGCAGGCUUAUGGCACUUCCAGGAAGCAGAGGCAUGGAUACCCUCAUUGCCCUCUCUCAACUUCUGCCUCCACCAUUCCAGCAGAACAAAGGCUGUUUCAGGCAAAACCAUGUACCCUGGUUGAAAUUGUCCCUGUACUCCUGAUUUAUUUAUGACCAUGAAUUCCCUCUAUACUUAACUAUAUAACUGAUACUAAGUUACAUAGCCUAAAUGAAGUUAAUUUCUUUAGUACUAUUCCCUAAACCCUAAAAGAGUUACUCUUUUAACAACAUGCCAUAUUUAGGACUCUUAAGGGUUCUGUUUUACUUAUUAGAGACACGAAAUAUAUGAAAAUACCACGUUAUUAAUUAUCUCUCUCAUGCCAAACACGUUAUUCAGUAAACUGCCCUUUCUCAGUUAAAACAAAAACAAAAACAAAAAACACUGUUAAUCUGGUUGAUGGGAAUGAUUUUUUGUUCCUAUUUUUCCUUCACUUCCCAGCAAAUAAACUAUCACCUAUUUAUGCUAUUUCUUCUUCCAAAAUAUAUCACAAAUCCCUCCUAGUCUUUUUAGUUCUUCUGCAACCAUGGUCCAAGCCAUAAUCUUCUCACAAAGAUUACUGCAAAUAGCCUCCAUGUGGUUCUCUGCUUCCAGCUUUGACUCGCUCACCCAUUCUCUACAAGUGGCCAAGGAAUCUUAAGAAACACAAAUUAAAAAACCAUGCAAAUCAGUA